rnacentral:misc_RNA from 1 species
UUUCAAAUUGGACCUGA